UCCAUUUGCUUUUACAUUAAUCUUAGUUUAUAACACCGUUUGUCUUCAUUACUUUAAGUUUAUGUCAUUUGAAAUAGAAUGUAGAAAAGAUUGCUUUUGCUACUUUUUUCGAAUGUCAACCUUUUUAAAACAAAUCAUUAUAAUGAAAAGUGCAAUAACUUAAUUUGCUUCACUCUUUUUUUUUCUUCUUUUUUUUUACUGAAGAAAUCACUAUCACUGUAUUGUAAAGUUUUGUGACUAUGAAUGCAACAUAUCUGGAAAUGGUAUCAUAAUUUUCACAAGAUAGAUCCAAAAAUUUAAAAUCACCUUUUUGCAUUGGAAAUCAAAGCAUAGUUUGUUUAAAGCCAGCUUUUGAUUUUUGGACACAAAGCAUUACUCUUAUUGUAAGAAUGAAUACUGAAAAAUAUACAUGCUUCAAUAAUUUCAUGAUGAAUUUUGAAAUUCAGAAUGAAUUUAUUUCUUUCUCUCACAAAAAGAUUGAUCAGAUCCUGUUGUGUUGUAGAAUCCCUAUAAAUGAGAUAUAUUAGAUAAGUUGGUCAGAAAAAGAAUGUACCCUCCAACAAAUCCUUUUUUACGAAGUUUGCUGUAGAUAUGUUUCUUCAAAGAUCAAUUAGGCCAUGAAAGUUUUGCAUGCAUCCAACUUGAAAGAAAGAUUUAAAGAAAACUUUGGAAUUUAAGCAUCCUUAAUCUUCUGGGCUGCUUAAAGUAUUGAGCUUUUUUGAUCAUGCACAAUUAAUUGUCUCUCUACUGACCUAUUUCGUCAACAGCCAUGUUUGUCUCCUAUCUUGCGGCAACCUGGGGAUGACUGUGGAUCACCCCCUUUCUGCCUGACGCGGAAGGGAGGAUUUAAUGCCUAGCCUCCCAAUACUCUGAUAAUCGGGACACUAGGGAAGUUUUGUCUAGUUUUAUCCCUUAUUCCUUUCUGAUUUUUUUCUUGUAUAAUUUUGUUUUAUAUAUUUCUUCUUGUUACUAGUUUCUUUAUUUGUGUGUAUAUCUUCGUCUCUUAGGAAAAGAUCUGUAUUCACUCUCACCUUGUGCAUUUGAAGUUUUUUUUAAAAAAAAAGAACACAAAACAAAAUAUUUCUUUCUUAACUCAUCAGCUCCUGUUUGGUACACAGAAAUUAAUGGGUGCAUUUUAAAGGAGUGUGUCUCUUUAAAAUUUAUGAAAUUGUUAAGCUUUAGUUAGUGAUUUUUUUUUUUUGCCUUGAUAGUCACUUUAUUUUUAGAAUUGGCAAAAAAAGCAAUAUUUUUUUAUAUCCUUGUUCAAUAAAUGUAAAUGUUUCUUCAAAGUGAAUGGCAGUUGCUUACACAUUAUUUGUUUUGUUUUGAAUAAAUCACAAAUAUUAUUUAAUUUUAUGACACAUAAAACUAUAUAUUGAUGAUUGAUAGAUUUCGUAACAUAAAAUUAGGAGAAAGCAUAUGUUUUAAUUAUGUAAGAAAUAACACUGUAUUUUCCAGUGUAAAGGGAAUUUCUUCUUAUUUUUAAAUAUAUAACUCUUAUAUAAAAAUAUUUAAAUUUUGUAAAGUUAGUAACAUUGUGUUUCAAUUUUCUAAAUUUCUUCAUUUUUAACUUGUGUUUCAUUUAUUUUUUAAUGUUUCAGGUGCCGCUAUUGGUUUCACAAAAAAGUCAGUAAAUCAUCCUGAGGGUGGCAAAAUAUCAGUGUUUGUGUGCUCAUUUUGCAGCUAUACCAGUCUUCAAUUGUCUCACAUUCGCUCUCACCAAAUGCCUCUGCCAGCUUCAUCAGAAAAGUUUUAUGUCGACCUGAUGGUGGUCAAUUGACUGUUUACUCAUGCAAUAUCUGCAGUUAUGUCACAUCAAAUAUAUCCCAUAGUCGUUAUCACCAAGUAACUCAUUCUAGAGCUCGUGAUUAUAAAUGCUCUUUUUGUUCCAAGUCUUUUUCCCUCAAAAGCAACAGAAAUCGACAUAUUAAUUUAAAGCAUUUAUGAUAGCAUCAGUAUUUUUUAUUUUUCAUUGCAUUUCGCAAGAGAUGAACUUAAAUAUAUUACAUAUAAUUUGUUUUAAAAUUGUUUUGGAAGUUCUCCUACAGUAUAAUCUCAAUAAGGUGUUUCUCGUUGAGUUAUUCAUUCCUUAUGUGUAUCAAGGUUAAAAAUCUGUAGAUGUGUAAUAAUGGGAUGCUCAUUUUGCUUUCGGAAGUAGAAGUAAAAACUUUAUAGCAGAGUAUUUUAUAAGUUGAUUUUUUGAAUUCCUUCUUUGCAAUGAAAGUUGGGGAUAGAAUUAGACAUCAGUAAUGCAUUUUGUCAUGCAGAUUUUUUUUCCUUUCCCAAGUACAUUGAAUGUGUUUAGCUUAAAACGUUGCCUAAUAUUUUAAAUAAUUAACAUUUAAAAUAAAUACAAAAAAAGUAACACAUUCAUAAUGAAAAUUAACCUUUUAUGUAACCGAAAUGGCGAAAAAAAACAUUUAAGCUAUGUUGCAUCUUUUGAGUUGGUAAGAUGGAUUUGAAAAAUUUAAAUAAUUCAUUUGCAUCAUUUUCAGACACUUUGUAUGUCGUGUCAAUGUAAGGGACUAAUUUUCACAUUUUUCAAAGUUAUUGUUUUAUGAGUUCUUUAGGAUUUUCAUUUAUCUUUUGGACAAUGCUAAACAGGUUAGCACCAUGGAAGAGUGUUUUUUGUAACCUAGUUUUUUACCACAUUUAUAUUACCCCAACUGAAAAUUUAGUGAUGGAUCUUCAUACCAGUUACACACAAAGUUAAAAAUAGAGGGUUGAUGUGUGACCACAUCUAAUCUUUUAUCCUGAACAUGUCAGGAAAAGACUAAAUCACCUGUUUUGUCAUGAUUAGUGAAUCAAUUUUUCAACAAUUGUGACCAAAAAAAAAGGCAACUUGACUAGGUUUUAUAGAUAUUAUAAAGAUGUCAUUUAAAUGUAACAUUGCAUUUGGAUAUGCUCUGAAGUUCCACUGUACAAAGAAUAUGUCUAUUACAAGAUUAGUAGGUGUCACAAAUUUGUUUAUGUUGUUACUGUUAUUUAGUUAAGUAUGUGAAAGCUCUUGUUUUAACAUUGUGUAAAAAUUUUGUCACUGUCAAAUUUGUACCAGUCAUCACCUGUUACAUACAAAAAAAAUUUUUAUGUUACAGGUGAUGUUAAAUUAAAUAAAAUGUUUUGAGCUAUU
rnacentral:lncRNA from 1 species